GACAGCAGUCGCCGCGGUAAUACGAAGGGGGCUAGCGUUGUUCGGAAUUACUGGGCGUAAAGCGCACGUAGGCGGAUAUUUAAGUCAGGGGUGAAAUCCCAGAGCUCAACUCUGGAACUGCCUUUGAUACUGGGUAUCUUGAGUAUGGAAGAGGUGAGUGGAAUUCCGAGUGUAGAGGUGAAAUUCGUAGAUAUUCGGAGGAACACCAGUGGCGAAGGCGGCUCACUGGUCCAUUACUGACGCUGAGGUGCGAAAGCGUGGGGAGCAAACAGGAUUAGAGACCCCUGUAGUCCCUGUCUCUUAUAC
rnacentral:rRNA from 1 species